GGCCAAUCAGCUUAAAGAUGUUGUGUAUCCAUUUGAGCUCUGAAACUGAUUUGAAAUUGACCGACGCGAUCUGGAGGGUGAACUGGGGAAGGAAAGCGGACACCGGAUCGUGCAGAAUGAAAGGCCAUGAAGCUGAUUUGUAGAUUAUUUUGCGUUACUGUGAUGAAUUCAAUCAACUGCUUCCAAGCAAGAGUCGUAUUUGAAGAGGAACCAGGAGAACUACUGUAAGUGAAAUACUGGAUGGUGUUCCUUAACAGGUCCUGUCUUGUUGGCAAACAGAGCCUGAGGUUGAAAAGGCGAAAGCAUAACAGCAAAGAGAUGACCUACUGCACUGGUAGUCGGUAACUUCGGACUGAAUCGUUGUCAUCAAUGAGCUACCAAAGUUCUACUUUACAGCUGCAUGAUAUUUUAUUUGUUGUAUUCUCACAUUUUGGAGAAAAAAAGAACUAAGAAGAUAAAAGCUGGACCGAGGAGUGUAGGUGUGAAUUGGUGUAAAGAGAAGCUCAAGACAGUGGAGAUAGUAUUUUUGAUGCCUUUUUUCUGUGCAUCUCUUUAUAAAAUCACUACAAACAAUAAUGGAUUGUUGAUAAGAUGCAUCUCUGCCAAUACAUUAUUACAAUUAUGCU